AGAAAUUCCACCAAGUGUUGGAUGACUCCAUGAGACGCGAUUGCCAGCUUGUUUGCUGUGCAAGAAGAGAGGAUCAGCAAAGCCGCAACCGUGAGCUCAAUCAAUGACUCACUUUGGCAUUGAAGGAGACUUAACAAGACAGUGCAUGAGCAUCAUUGUGAUUGGGGCCGCUAUGGAAGGACAAGCAUUAUUACAGGAACAUAUUCCGUAGUCCUACUCAAGCAAAGAGCAUGGAGGGGGGGAAAAAGUAGGACUUUCUGUGAUAAUUCCAACACAGUAUCAGGGCUAACCGUUCACUGCCAAAGGCCAGACUGAGCAGAGCAAAGAGUGCAGCUUCAAUGGCGUCGUAGUCUUGUGAGUGAAGCAUCAAAAUCAAUGGCUCUAUAACACCUCUUUCAGCCAGCUUUUGCCUCUGCUUAC